CCCCCAUCUCCCUCUCUCUCCCAGCUCGCCUUGCCUUGCAGAUCAGUCUCUCCGCGGCUCGGUCUUUCUGCAUAGGCAAUCACAGCUCCUACUUGCAGACUCAACUCUCCCUCUCGCACUGAUUGCAAUGCAUUUUCUGCCUGAAUGUAGGUCGCUUACAACCGAGAACACGAGUUUCCUUCAAAUCCACUGUUGCUGUCUUUCUUCUUGUUAUUUUUAAUUUUUCCCCCCUUUCGUGGUCGUUGCAUUCCUUUGGAGAAGCCAAUCGCUUUGGAUUCCAAAAAGGGGAGCAGGAACCGUAUGUGAAUAAUCCUGGCUGCAUGAUAGCCCGAGAGGAUUUCCUGAAAGAUUCUGGCUGUGUAAAAAAGACCCCUAUGCUUCUUCAGCUAUCCCAGUGUUAAGGAAAAUUUUCUGCUGUAACUAAAAUGACAUCAUGCUGCCUCCAGUGGGGGAAUGCUGAAGCCUUCUCAAAAAUACAACACAGUGGCUGACUGAGUGGGCUGGACUUCACUGAGAGGAGCCAUUUCACUGGGGCAGUGGAAUAACUGUGGAUCUCUCGCCACUCCAGUUGUCGGGAAGUGCUGUGUGUUGCCAGGAUUAAUUCAACACUGAAGUCUGGGAUGGGCCUUAGGGGCAAACACUCCCUUGGUUCUUCUGACAUUGGGAUUUGUCUACAGCCAGUCAGCUGAGGCACCUACUACACAUCAACUUUUGUUUUUUUUGUUGUCUGAACAAAGAUACAUUUUCCCUCGCUUCAUCUCCUUUUGACUACUUUUUUUAUUAGUUUUCAUUUUCCUUGACUGAAUAAUUUCUCCUGGCUGUGGAAAAAAGAGCCCUGCUGAUGUUGAUUUAAAUAAUGUCGAAACCAAUGGGACUCCUAUGGCUGCCUUUGAUCUUCACACCAGUGUGUGUCAUGUUGAAUUCUAACUUCCUCCUGUGGAUAACUGCACUGGCUAUAAGAUUUACUCUCAUUGAUGGCCAAGCACAAUACCCAGUUGUUACAACGAAUUAUGGCAAAAUACGUGGGUUAAGAACACCUUUGCCUAAUGAGAUCCUUGGUCCAGUGGAGCAGUACUUGGGUGUUCCUUAUGCUUCCCCUCCAACGGGAGAAAGGCGGUUCCAGCCGCCGGAGCCGCCGUCGUCCUGGACGGGUGUCCGCAACGCCACGCAGUUUGCCGCUGUGUGCCCGCAGUACCUGGAUGAGAGGUCACUGCUCAACGACAUGCUGCCAGUGUGGUUUACAGCCAAUCUGGAUACUGUGGUGACAUAUGUUCAAGAUCAAAAUGAAGACUGUCUGUAUUUGAAUAUCUAUGUGCCCACAGAGGAUGGAGCCAACACAAAGAAAAGCGCAGAUGAUAUAACCAGUAAUGAUCGUGGUGAAGAUGAAGACAUUCAUGAUCAGAACAGCAAGAAACCUGUUAUGGUCUACAUCCAUGGUGGAUCUUACAUGGAGGGUACUGGAAAUAUGAUUGAUGGCAGCAUUCUCGCAAGUUAUGGAAAUGUCAUUGUUAUCACUAUCAAUUACAGGCUGGGGGUUUUAGGUUUUUUAAGUACUGGGGACCAAGCUGCAAAAGGCAAUUAUGGAUUGCUUGACCAAAUCCAAGCUUUACGUUGGAUUGAAGAAAAUAUUGGAUCUUUUGGAGGAGACCCGAAGAGAGUUACUAUUUUUGGAUCUGGGGCAGGAGCUUCCUGUGUCAGUCUCCUGACACUUUCCCACUAUUCAGAAGGUUUGUUCCAAAAGGCAAUCAUACAGAGUGGAACAGCCCUGUCCAGCUGGGCAGUGAACUAUCAGCCUGCCAAGUACACUCGGAUAUUGGCAGAUAAAGUGGGCUGCGACAUGCUGGAUACCACUGAUUUGGUUGAAUGUCUGCGGAAUAAGAAUUACAAAGAACUCAUUCAACAGACUAUCACUCCAGCCACGUACCACAUUGCCUUUGGGCCUGUGAUAGAUGGAGACGUGAUUCCAGAUGACCCUCAGAUUCUAAUGGAGCAAGGGGAAUUCCUUAACUAUGAUAUAAUGCUGGGUGUGAAUCAAGGGGAAGGUUUGAAAUUUGUGGAUGGCAUUGUAGACAAUGAAGAUGGUGUUUCUCCCAAUGAUUUUGACUUUUCUGUCUCCAAUUUUGUGGACAAUCUCUAUGGCUAUCCAGAAGGGAAGGACACACUGCGAGAGACCAUUAAAUUCAUGUACACUGACUGGGCAGACAAAGAAAAUCCCGAAACAAGACGGAAGACCCUGGUUGCUCUUUUUACAGACCACCAAUGGGUUGCUCCAGCUGUUGCCACGGCUGACCUGCAUGCCCAGUAUGGAUCUCCAACAUAUUUCUAUGCAUUUUAUCACCAUUGCCAAAGUGAAAUGAAACCCAGCUGGGCUGAUUCAGCUCAUGGUGAUGAAGUCCCUUAUGUGUUUGGGAUUCCUAUGAUUGGUCCCACAGAACUGUUCAACUGCAACUUUUCCAAGAAUGAUGUCAUGCUUAGUGCAGUGGUUAUGACAUACUGGACUAACUUUGCCAAAACUGGAGAUCCAAACCAGCCUGUUCCACAGGACACAAAGUUCAUCCACACAAAACCCAACCGCUUUGAAGAAGUAGCCUGGUCCAAAUACAAUCCUAAAGACCAACUUUAUUUACACAUUGGCCUGAAACCCCGAGUUCGUGAUCACUAUCGAGCAACCAAAGUUGCUUUCUGGUUGGAGCUGGUACCACACCUUCACAACCUGAAUGAAAUAUUUCAGUAUGUUUCCACCACAACUAAAGUCCCCCCUCCUGACAUGACCUCAUUUCCGUAUGUGACCCGGCGUUCUCCUGGGAAAUUAUGGCCAGCCACCAAACGCCCAGCAAUGACACCUGCCAACAAUCCCAAACACUCGAAAGACACCCAUAAAACAGCUCCAGAGGAUACCACAGUUCUGAUAGAAAACAAGAGGGAUUACUCCACAGAGCUGAGCGUCACCAUUGCUGUGGGGGCCUCCUUGCUGUUCCUCAAUAUUUUAGCUUUUGCUGCGUUAUAUUACAAGAAGGACAAGCGGCGUCAUGAGACUCACAGGCGCCCCAGCCCCCAGAGGAACACCACCAACGACAUAGCACACAUACAAAAUGAGGAGAUCAUGUCCUUGCAGAUGAAGCAGCUAGAACAUGACCACGAGUGUGAAUCGCUGCAGGCCCAUGACACACUGAGACUCACCUGUCCGCCUGACUACACGCUCACUUUGAGAAGGUCCCCAGAUGACAUCCCGCUAAUGACACCCAACACCAUAACCAUGAUUCCAAAUACAUUAACAGGAAUGCAGCCUUUGCAUACUUUCAACACUUUCAGUGGAGGACAAAACAGUACAAAUUUGCCCCAUGGACAUUCGACCACUAGGGUAUAGCUCAGCCCUUCCCCAUCUACCCUCACAAGCCACUUGGAAGAAAGAAAAAAGAAAAAAAAAAAAGAAAAAAAAGAAGAGGAAAAAGUUAUAUACCAUCCAUUGAACACCUUGUCAAAAUGUAAAGUAAAAAUAAGUAAAAGAGAAGGACAGUCAUUAUUUUCUUACUGAUCCUUCCCACAGAAACUCACUGAUGUUAAAGAUCAACUACAAACCCUGUGAAAUGUGAAAAGUGUACAUUGCUGUUACAAUACUGCUUUAAGAUCUCAGCCACUUUGAUUGAAAGUUGGGGCCAGAAGAAGUGAUUUAAAAUGGUGUUGUUAAGUGUAACAAGCAAAGCAGAGUCUUCUGGAAGACAGAGCCAGUGACUGUACAGAUUUACAUAAGCUUUUGCUCUGAAGAUCCACACACAAAUACAACUGAGGGAUAGAUGAGAAGAUAACUUGUGUAUUUAAACUCACUUGGUGAAAAUAACUUCCCACCUGCAAAAAUUCUGUCGCAGAAUGUAGACCUCAGUUGUUCUUCAGAAAAAAAGAAAAAUUCCUAUUCAUCUGUAAAAAAUGAGGUUACAGGAAUGUGAGUAAAAACAAGUUAUGCAGAAUGGACAAAGGCGAAUCAAGAGGACGUCAGGAGCUGCAGAAGAAUUGUGGCUGUUGAUUAAUCAAGGACACAUGAGGAAGAGACAGGAAUGGUUUGAGGCUGGACCAACUGAACUCGAAAAAAAGUAUAUACCAGAAACCAGGAAAAUUACCAGAAAAUCCAUAAUACUGAGAAUAAAAGUUCAGAAAAGAGUGCACAUGACAAAGACACAACGCCAGACUGCCAAGCUGUGUUUACAUUACUGGUUUUGUUUGGUUCAGGAAUGUACUGUUAAAGGAAAUAUGCCAAUCCCCAUUUAUUAAAUUUCCUCACAAACGGAGCUUUGUUGUGCAUUGCAAGCAGUCUUGGAACAGGUGAGAUGGAUUCCUUUUGCAGGCAUAUACUGGAAGAGGUGAUCCAGAAAUGCCGCCCAUGCCUCCAAGCAAACCACUGGCAUUUGUGGAUGCAAGCCAUUCUGCAACACUUCCCCACAGCCCUGGCAUCAGCCCCUGUCCCUGUCCUAUUUAACAGACUAGCAAUUUAGCAAUAUGGCCUCUGGCAUACAAAUGGCAGUCUUUUCCCACUGCAGCAAGGCUAAUUGAUCCUGUUGUCCAAGUUCAGUUUAUAGUGCAAUGCUUCUGAUUUCAAUCCCAAAAUGCAUACUUAACUGCCAAGUUCUAAAACCAUUUGUAAAACACUUGCUCAUUUUUAAAAUUCUGCUCACAAUUAUGAAAAAGGGAAUGUCCCUCUCUUGACUUUGUAGAUUAUAUUGAUGAAAGGAUAUUUCUUUUUAAAAUAAAGCAAGCACAAACUUAAUACAAAAAAAAAAAAAAAAUUCUGCUACUAGUGGUUUAAGGACUCUGCAAUGCAAUGGAAAUUUAGUUUUGUCCACAUAAAAAACUGAAAUUAUUUCAAAAAUGUUUUUGUGGGAAAAUAUGUACCCCUGGUAUUAUGGUAUAUGUUCCUAACAUUGACCUAAAAUGCCAAACAUUUGAAGAUGUUCGGAGUGAACAUAUCCAACAACAUUAAAAAACAAAUAAAGAACCCAAAACAAACAAAAGAACUUCACAAUUUUAAAGGGGUUUUAUCUUUUGAAUGCUCCAUUUGACUUUAAUCCUUUUGCACUGUAAAAUCUAGGCACUGAAUAACAUAAUUUAUUUGGAAAUGCUAUUAGAAUCACUUUGGCAAUUAAUUUCAUUACAAAAUAUGGGGGAAUUUAUCAGGAAUUUCAGUGUGAUUUCAUGGUUUUUCUCUUCUUAUACUUUCUAAAUAAAUAUUACAGUCCUAGGCAGUAGAUUUUUCACACCACUGUGCAAAAAAGACAGACAGGUAUGUUUCUGGUCUAUUUUUUGUACCCGACAAAGUAAGGAUUAGGUGUCAAAGCUAGGCUUUUUAUUAUUUAAUCUUGGCUAUUACAGUAAAAAGCCCCUGUAUUAACUAGGAAAGGGACACAACAUCCUUUUCAUACUUCCAUGAUAGUUCUCUUAUCACAUCGAGAGAACUCAUAUCUCAUCAUGUACUGCAUUGCCUAAAUUUUGAAGUUUUCUCAAUUUAAAGGCAUGUAAGAACAUCUCUCUUUCUUUUCACAAGUUAAAUAGCAAAAUAUUCUUUGAACAAAAAGCCAAAACAAACAAAAAAACCCAACCCAAAAUGUCUACACAUUUAUGGGGGACAAAUCCAUAGAAGGCACCCUAAUCUCAGAGAAAAUGAAAUUUUCACCUAAAACUGAGUCUGAUCCACAUCACAUGUGGCAGCCAGCAAUAUAAAGACAGGUUUUCAAUGGACUUCAGGAGUGCAAAUUAAGAGAAUCAUUUUCAAAUUAGAUUCUUCUUGCUGAUUAAGAUAGAGAUUAAUAUUGAUUAAAAUAAAAGUUUGAAUAUGCUAUUUUUAGGAUACUGAAAAAAUAAUUUUUAAGCUAAUGAAUAAUUUACUGAAUAAUUAAACUUUUAAAGGAUCUGAGAAUUUCCUGUACUUUUGAAACUUCAGAAGAAAUAAUUUCUAGGAAAUCACUCAUCAGUUUAAAGAAUCAAACUAACACUGGAUACAUACAGUUACCAUGUCUUACAGUCUUAGUAAAAUUGCAUGAAUUAAAACUGAAUUACACUGAUACUUGGUAAAAAAACAACAACAACAACAACAACAAAAACCUGUAGUAAUAUAGCUUCAUUGAGUUUUUAAUUCAGUUGUGAAUGAGGAAGGCAAAGCAUCAAAUUAUCUUGAUUAAGAGAAAUGUCUUAUGUUUCAUUUUAGCAAAUCUGUCUCUCCAUGCAAGAUUUUAUGAAUACAAGGGGUGAAAAUGUGAUUUACAUAAAGUAAAUUUAAAUCAAGCAACAAAAUUAAACAGAUGUACCCUACUAACACCAAGCAUAAAUUAAAGAAUAAUGGGAUAGAGAAUGGAGAGUGUUAGGGCAGUUCUAUCACUCUGGAGUUAUUCAGCUGUUUAGCAGAAAAAGAAGAACAGAAAAAUACAAAACGAUAGUAAUUCUUAGGGAGAAGAGACAUCUAUGGAGGAGAGAGGAGAAAGAGGUAUGACACUGGGCUCUGAGAAAGAGAAGCAGAAAAGGUGAAGGACUGUGGUCUAAAGUUCGUAAAUUCAGAGAUAGAGAUGAUGUAGGAACUGAGAGGGCAAGAUUGACUUGAUGUUCAAGUAAAGAAUUAAUUUUCAAUAAUGGAAAUCAAGUGACUAAUGAACGUCUGAUAUUUUUUUCAGAUAACUGUAAACAAUUAAAAUUAUGUAUUUGCAGAAGGUGAAAAAAAUCACAAUAAUGGCCAGCUCUGAUAGGAACAGGAAGCUGAAUCUUUAAAGGCUAGAGGCUCUAAGAUAUACAAGUUCAUGCAGAGCAGGACAAGAACUGCACUGUCUGGCUAUUUUUAAGUAAAUUUAUAUCCACAGUGGUUUUCCCUGGCACCAAGCAUAAAGUGUGAUCAGUAAUGCACAGACUUCAUCUAGAAGACCACUCUGAGUGUGCAUGGUCUUCAGCAGAACAAGGUAGUAGUCCAUUACACCAAGAGUAAUUGAAAUGGCUAUGAGAAUUUUUGGGAGAGAAAUCAAAAAUAGAAGCUAAAGUCAUGGACUGCCUGUAUCAAUUAUUUCAGAAGCAGCAUUCUGUGAGCUCAGUGUUUGUGCUGAGACUUUACAAUGGAAAAAAAAAUAACCUCCAGUUGGGACAGGGAGCAAAGAUAGAAAAUAACUAUGACAUAAAAUCUCAGAAUAGGUGAAAGCAAGGUUUACAUUUAUGGGGUAAAUAGUCAUGCAUCACAAAACAGAAUAAUGAAAUAGCAUAGGAGACAUGAUGAUGGAGAUAACUAUUAGAAAAUAGUAGAUCCAAAAAGAAGAGAAAAGUAGAAAUAAAUAGAACAGCAGUAGAUAAACCAUGAGGCUGAAAAAAGUUCCUUCAUUCUUUCUCUUACAUUUAGGUACAAAUGUUGUACAAAUGUUACAUAGAGGUGUAUAACCUCUGUAUAAUAAAACUAUAUGAGAUGUAUGUACUAAUUGUAAUAUUAAUGGUCAGCAGAGGCUGGUGAAGAGAAAAUAUUAUGAGAAGGUGCAAAUGUAAUAAUAUUGUGCAAAAAUGUAUACACACUGUUUUGGUUAUUUCUUCUUGUUUCUUCUGGUAACUCAUGGGCUUUAGUGGCAUAUGGGUGAGGUUGAUGACUCCACAAGUGCACACUUUUCUACUGAAAAUGUGAGUGACUGUAACCAGAAGAUGUAAAAGGAAAUUUUGUUUUCCCUAGAAAAUAAGAUAGUGUGUUCUACUCAGAGUUAUUCUUCUAAACAUUCAGAAUACUUUAUCGAGUUAU